rnacentral:rRNA from 1 species
GACGAACGCUGGCGGCGUGCUUAACACAUGCAAGUCGAACGGAAAGGCCCUGCUUUUGUGGGGUGCUCGAGUGGCGAACGGGUGAGUAACACGUGAGUAACCUGCCCUUGACUUUGGGAUAACUUCAGGAAACUGGGGCUAAUACCGGAUAGGAGCUCCUGCUGCAUGGUGGGGGUUGGAAAGUUUCGGCGGUUGGGGAUGGACUCGCGGCUUAUCAGCUUGUUGGUGGGGUAGUGGCUUACCAAGGCUUUGACGGGUAGCCGGCCUGAGAGGGUGACCGGCCACAUUGGGACUGAGAUACGGCCCAGACUCCUACGGGAGGCAGCAGUGGGGAAUAUUGCACAAUGGGCGGAAGCCUGAUGCAGCAACGCCGCGUGAGGGAUGACGGCCUUCGGGUUGUAAACCGCUUUCGCCUGGGACGAAGCGUGAGUGACGGUAAUGGGUAAAGAAGCACCGGCUAACUACGUG